CAGCAGCCGCGGUAAUACGUAGGGUGCGAGCGUUAAUCGGAAUUACUGGGCGUAAAGCGUGCGCAGGCGGUUGUGUAAGACAGGUGUGAAAUCCCCGGGCUUAACCUGGGAACUGCGCUUGUGACUGCACAGCUAGAGUAUGGCAGAGGGGGGUGGAAUUCCACGUGUAGCAGUGGAAUGCGUAGAGAUGUGGAGGAACACCGAUGGCGAAGGCAGCCCCCUGGGCCAAUACUGACGCUCAUGCACGAAAGCGUGGGGAGCAAACAGGAUUAGAUACCCGUGUAGUCCCUGUCUCUUAUAC
rnacentral:rRNA from 1 species